UGGUGGAGUGAUUUGUCUGCUUAAUUGCGAUAACGAACGAGACCUUAACCUGCUAAAUAGUUACGCGAACCAUUGCGUUCGUGGCCAACUUCUUAGAGGGACUUUUGCGUGUUUUAACCAAAGGAAGUUUGAGGCAAUAACA
rnacentral:rRNA from 1 species